UACGUAGGGAGCAGGCGUUGUCCGGAAUCAUUGGGCGUAAAGCGCGCGUAGGCGGCCUCAUAAGUCCGUUGUGAAAGUCCAGGGCUCAACCCCUGGGAUGCCGGUGGAUACUGUCGGGCUCGAGUCCGGAAGAGGCGAGUGGAAUUCCUGGUGUAGCGGUGAAAUGCGCAGAUAUCAGGAGGAACACCAAUGGCGAAGGCAGCUCGCUGGGACGUGACUGACGCUGAGACGCGAAAGCGUGGGGAGCAAACAGG
rnacentral:rRNA from 1 species